rnacentral:rRNA from 1 species
GACGAACGCGGCGGCGUGCCUAAUACAUGCAAGUAGAACGCACAGGAUGCACCGUAGUUUACUACACCGUAUUCUGUGAGUUGCGAACGGGUGAGUAACGCGUAGGUAACCUGCCUGGUAGCGGGGGAUAACUAUUGGAAACGAUAGCUAAUACCGCAUAAGAACAUUUACUGCAUGGUAGAUGUUUAAAAGGUGCAAAUGCAUCACUACCAGAUGGACCUGCGUUGUAUUAGCUAGUAGGUGAGGUAACGGCUCACCUAGGCGACGAUACAUAGCCGACCUGAGAGGGUGAUCGGUCACACUGGGACUGAGACACGGCCCAGACUCCUACGGGAGGCAGCAGUAGGGAAUCUUCGGCAAUGGGGGGAACCCUGACCGAGCAACGCCGCGUGAGUGAAGAAGGUUUUCGGAUCGUAAAGCUCUGUUGUUAAGGAAGAACGAGUGUGAGAAUGGAAAGUUCAUACUGUGACG